AUCCAGCUGAUGAGUCCCAAGCAGGACGAAACGUGCGUCUUGGAA
rfam:Schistosoma curassoni strain Dakar, Senegal genome assembly, scaffold: SCTD_scaffold0002563